CCUACGGGAGGCAGCAGUGAGGAAUAUUGGUCAAUGGACGCAAGUCUGAACCAGCCAUGCCGCGUGCAGGAAGACGGCUCUAUGAGUUGUAAACUGCUUUUGUACGAGGGUAAACGCAGAUACGCGUAUCUGUCUGAAAGUAUCGUACGAAUAAGGAUCGGCUAACUCCGUGCCAGCAGCCGCGGGAAUACGGAGGAUUCAAGCGUUAUCCGGAUUUAUUGGGUUUAAAGGGUGCGUAGGCGGUCGGAGAAGUUAGAGGUGAAAUCCCGAGGCUCAACUUCGGAAUUGCCUCGGAUACUGUGCGGCUAGAGAGUAGAUGCGGUAGGCGGAAUGUAUGGUGUAGCGGUGAAAUGCUUAGAGAUCAGGCAGAACACCGAUGGCGAAGGCAGCUUACCAAGCUACUUCUGACGUUGAGGCACGAAAGCGUGGGGAGCAAACAGGAUUAGAUACCCUAGUAGUC
rnacentral:rRNA from 1 species